rnacentral:lncRNA from 1 species
UCGUGAGUUCUGGCGAGCUUAUGUUAGAAAAAUUAGUCUGUGUUAUGGGGUUCCGUUCUCGAUGGAGCAUAUUUUCAAAAGAUCUUCUCCGGCAAAAAUUCUGGUCGGCUGCUCCUCAAUCUGCGCCUUCCGUUCUUGAUUUGAGGAGGAAAUUCCCUAAAUCCAAAAAAAAAAGAUAUGCUUUUCAAUAAAAGAAAAAAAAAGAAAAAAGGGGGUUCUCGGUUUGGGGAGAUUCAGACAUGAUCUUCAAAAAUAAAAUUGGGUAUGCAAUUGGGGCUCCCUUUUCGCGGUUACCAGUCGCCGACCACCAUGCCCAGCAAAGAAAGCUUGGGUAGCCUCCAACCGCCUUUCUUCUGAACAGAUCCGAAUCAGAUCCCUUAC